CUUGUGAUUCUGUGAUUUGUAACGCAAAAACCCUAAUUUUUCCAGGUCUUUUUAUAGUAUACAGAAGACGAUAGAUUCAUGGAACAUCAAGCAAUGCAGAGGUGCAGCUGGCCAUAUAUGGUGUGUAUGCAGAUGGUCACCGCUUAGUAACUGCAGCCAGCUUCCCAUGACAUAACACGACUACUUGAAAUAUGAUCAUUUCUAGGAAACACAGACCAGAGAUUAUUAAGGAUCCAAUGUGUCAGAAGGCCUGGACAGGAAGAGUUUUGCUCUUAAUUGGUGUAGCUACUGUAAUGUCCCAGAAAGGUUUAGGACAAGUGCUAUAGGAGGUGCUGUGCCACGAGCCUUGGAAUCCAGGUAGUUUCCCCGCUGGGAAGCUUCUCAACCUGUCUCACUUGGUUCAAUUUUGCUCCUCUGCCUCACCUUACCCAUGUGUAGGGUUGCUUUGAACUUUUGAACUUUUCUUGAAGAUCUGUCUCUGUAUUGGAGGAAAAGGUGUGCAAGUUCAGCAUGAGUAUUGCUGAAUGAAAUCUGAAGGGGGCACAGUCUGAUAUAGAAGCCCUUUUCCUUGACCGUUACGCAAAAUAAAUGCAUUUUUUCCCUCCA
rnacentral:lncRNA from 1 species